UGGUGGAGCGAUUUGUCUGGUCAAUUCCGAUGACGAACGAGACUCUGGCCUAUUAAAUAGUUCGCCGAUUCCGAUCUGUCGGCGUUAACUUCUUAGAGGGACAAGUGGCUUUUAGCCACGCGAGAUUGAGCAAUAACA
rnacentral:rRNA from 1 species